rnacentral:rRNA from 1 species
AUUGAACGCUGGCGGCAUGCUUUACACAUGCAAGUCGAACGGUAACAGGCCGCAAGGUGCUGACGAGUGGCGAACGGGUGAGUAAUGCAUCGGAACGUGCCCAGUCGUGGGGGAUAACGCAGCGAAAGCUGCGCUAAUACCGCAUACGAUCUAUGGAUGAAAGCGGGGGACCGUAAGGCCUCGCGCGAUUGGAGCGGCCGAUGUCAGAUUAGGUAGUGGGUGGGGUAAAGGCCUACCAAGCCAACGAGCUGUAGCUGGUCGGAGAGGACGACCAGCCACACGGGGACUGAGACACGGCCCAGACUCCUACGGGAGGCAGCAGUGGGGAAUUUUGGACAAUGGGCGCAAGCCUGAUCCAGCAAUGCCGCGUGCAGGAGGAAGGCCUUCGGGUUGUAAGCUGCUUUUGUACGGAACGAAAAGGCUCUGGUUAAUACCUGGGGCUCAUGACGGUACCGUAAGAAUAAGCACCGGCUAACUACGUGCCAGCCGCCGCGGUAAUAC